AUCUUGAAAACGGAAAAUAAAAACAGCAGACCUAUGAAGGUCGAAGGGGAAGAAAAGCUGUAUCGAUUGUUGAGAUCUGGCGACUUGUUUAAAUUUCAUCAGCCUCACUUCUAUGAACUCUCAGAGCUGAUUACCAACUCCUACCACUGUUAACCCUCAUCCAGGAACAAGCUUAUGUCUUUAACAUUCUGAGUGGGCUUCAGCAUCCUUGCAUAUGUUCAAUUCUUAAAAACCUGUUGAAAUAAAAGAUCAGGAGACAUAGGAAGGAUGCCAGAAGAGAGCGUGGCCUCACGUGUACCAGCUCUCUGCUCUCCUUUGCCUUGGGACGUUCCAUCCCUGGAAGUUUCCCUGCCCACAUCUUUGUAGAGAGUCCAUUCUCCAAGCUUCAGUGUGUCAUCUGUGAGGACCGUGACCCACCUGGUACAUCGCCUCAGGGCAUUCAUUUCAGGCUCCUUCUAAAUGGCCAAGGUUUGUAUGGAUUUUAAUCCCUAUUGCUGGUGCACUUCACUUGGGCUUGGAAGCUUUUUUCCCAUUUUCGUAGUAAUG
rnacentral:lncRNA from 10 species